rnacentral:lncRNA from 1 species
CGCCUUGGGCUCCGGGCCGCGCCGCGGGGAUGGCGGGAGCCGGAGCUGGUGCAGGAGCUCGGGGCGGCGCGCCGGCGGGAGUCGAGGCCCGCGCUCGGGACCCGCCACCCGCGCACCGCGCGCACCCUCGCCAUCCUCGGCCCGCGGCUCAGCCGUCGGCGCGCAGGAUGGACGGCGGCGCGGGCGUCCCGGGCUCCGGGGACAACGCCCCGACCACCGAGGCGCUGUUUGUGGCGCUGGGCGCGGGCGUGACCGCUCUCAGCCACCCGCUGCUCUACGUGAAGCUGCUGAUCCAGGUGGGGCGGGGGGCUCCGCGGGAGGAUGUGGAUGGGAUGUGCGGUGUC